ACACACCUUUGUAAUUAUACUUUUUCUUUGUUAUUCUAAUUUGACUUAAAAUGUACCACAUACUAAAGCUAGUAGUAGAUACUAUCUGGGUAACGUAAGAAUGUUCUACAACAAAUGAAUGAGACAAAAGUACCAUUACGUGCAUGUUACACAACGUUCCGAACUACCCAUAUGAGGAUGCCCAUUUACACCAUCUUGACAUAGAUCUUCUAGAAGGUUGGUCGACGUUUUGCUCUAUGUUUUAGAUUCCCUGUUGUAUAUCGUCUAUUCGCACCCCUUUGAAAAUAGUGAGCUGAUCUCUGCAACUUUGACCUCACUUUUCAACUAUCAAGGUCUUCGUGGAAAAGCUAAGUUCGGUUCAGGUUCAAGAACAAUAUCAUCAGCGCCAUGAACCAAUGUCUGAAGCUUACGUUCCUGGUAGUGACAUGCUGUCUUCUGUUGGCGACUUUCCUGCUCAAAAGUCAAGAAAAUUACAUCCUGAGGACACUACCGAUGCCUUUCAACAACAGCGUUUCUGGAGGCAAAAACUUGAAAGCUUUCACAUCGAAAAGCAAAACGAGAAUGUCGAAGAUUUUACACGACGCAACAUCUACAUCGGAUUGGGUUUACAACAAAACGGCAGCGGAUCAAGUACGAACUGCUACAGCGCGAUUGAGUCUCUACAGUCUCUUUCGUUUGAGCUGGCUGGGCAACCCGCCACAGAAAAGGAAGUGUCCAUCAAAUUGCAAGACAAGAAACAUCGUACAACACCAGAAGACGUGCGCUCUCGUGGGCAACAGUGGAAUCCUCCUUGGAAGCAACUGCGGUUCUGAGAUUGACUCCAAAGAUUUCGUCGUACGAAUGGACUUACCGGGCGUCUCAGGGUUCGAAAACGACGUCGGCGGACGGACCAACAUGACGGUUGUAAGCCCUAAAACGACGAGACUCGUGGAAAAGUCUGCUAAGCUUAAGAAUCGUAGUGAGGAUGUGAACGAGGGUCGCCUUCGUGGAAUAAAAGAUACUAUUCUGUUAAUAGACAAAGAGUCAC